rnacentral:rRNA from 1 species
CGAACGAGUUCUCGUUGAUGAUCGGUGCUUGCACCGAGAUUCAACAUGGAACGAGUGGCGGACGGGUGAGUAACACGUGGGUAACCUGCCCUUAAGUGGGGGAUAACAUUUGGAAACAGAUGCUAAUACCGCAUAGAUCCAAGAACCGCAUGGUUCUUGGCUGAAAGAUGGCGUAAGCUAUCGCUUUUGGAUGGACCCGCGGCGUAUUAGCUAGUUGGUGAGGUAAUGGCUCACCAAGGCGAUGAUACGUAGCCGAACUGAGAGGUUGAUCGGCCACAUUGGGACUGAGACACGGCCCAAACUCCUACGGGAGGCAGCAGUAGGGAAUCUUCCACAAUGGACGCAAGUCUGAUGGAGCAACGCCGCGUGAGUGAAGAAGGCUUUCGGGUCGUAAAACUCUGUUGUUGGAGAAGAAUGGUCGGCAGAGUAACUGUUGUCGGCGUGACGGUAUCCAACCAGAAAGCCACGGCUAACUACGUGCCAGCAGCCGCGGUAAUACGUAGGUGGCAAGCGUUAUCCGGAUUUAUUGGGCGUAAAGCGAGCGCAGGCGGUUUUUUAAGUCUGAUGUGAAAGCCCUCGGCUUAACCGAGGAAGCGCAUCGGAAACUGGGAAACUUGAGUGCAGAAGAGGACAGUGGAACUCCAUGUGUAGCGGUGAAAUGCGUAGAUAUAUGGAAGAACACCAGUGGCGAAGGCGGCUGUCUG